rnacentral:rRNA from 1 species
GGGGGGGGAGCUAUACAUGCAAGUCGAACGAACUUCCGUUAAUUGAUUAUGACGUGCUUGCACUGAAUGAGAUUUUAACACGAAGUGAGUGGCGGACGGGUGAGUAACACGUGGGUAACCUGCCCAGAAGCAGGGGAUAACACCUGGAAACAGAUGCUAAUACCGUAUAACAGAGAAAACCGCCUGGUUUUCUUUUAAAAGAUGGCUCUGCUAUCACUUCUGGAUGGACCCGCGGCGCAUUAGCUAGUUGGUGAGGUAACGGCUCACCAAGGCGAUGAUGCGUAGCCGACCUGAGAGGGUAAUCGGCCACAUUGGGACUGAGACACGGCCCAGACUCCUACGGGAGGCAGCAGUAGGGAAUCUUCCACAAUGGACGCAAGUCUGAUGGAGCAACGCCGCGUGAGUGAAGAAGGGUUUCGGCUCGUAAAGCUCUGUUGUUAAAGAAGAACGUGGGUGAGAGUAACUGUUCACCCAGUGACGGUAUUUAACCAGAAAGCCACGGCUAACUACGUGCCAGCAGCCGCGGUAAUACGUAGGUGGCAAGCGUUAUCCGGAUUUAUUGGGCGUAAAGCGAGCGCAGGCGGUCUUUUAAGUCUAAUGUGAAAGCCUUCGGCUCAACCGAAGAAGUGCAUUGGAAACUGGGAGACUUGAGUGCAGAAGAGGACAGUGGAACUCCAUGUGUAGCGGUGAAAUGCGUAGAUAUAUGGAAGAACACCAGUGGCGAAGGCGGCUGUCUGGUCUGUAACUGACGCUGAGGCUCGAAAGCAUGGGUAGCGAACAGGAUUAGAUACCCUGGUAGUCCAUGCCGUAAACGAUGAUUACUAAGUGUUGGAGGGUUUCCGCCCUUCAGUGCUGCAGCUAACGCAUUAAGUAAUCCGCCUGGGGAGUACGACCGCAAGGUUGAAACUCAAAAGAAUUGACGGGGGCCCGCACAAGCGGUGGAGCAUGUGGUUUAAUUCGAAGCUACGCGAAGAACCCUUACCAGUCUUGACAUCUUCUGCCAACCUAGAGAUUAGCGUUCCUUCGGGACAGAAUGACAGGUGGUGCAUGAUGUCGUCAGCUCGUGUCGUGAGAUGGUGGGUAGUCCCGCACGAGCGCACCCUAUACUAGUGCAGCAUUCAGUUGGCACUCUAGUGGAGACUGCAGUGACAUCGGAGCAGUGGGAACGAAUCAAUCACUCAGUG